UCGCGGCUUGCGCCGGCAGUCCCGACAGAGUCCUCGGCUUUAUCCGUUAGCAACUGUCGGCAGGGGUUGCGCUCGUUAUGGCACUUAAGCCGACACCUCACGGCACGAGCUGACGACAACCAUGCAGCACCUCGGAAGAUGUCCGUAGAACGAGGGGUCUCUCCCUCUGUCAUCUCCCGUUUGAGCCCGGGUAAGGUUCCUCGCGUAUCAUCGAAUUAAACCACAUGUUCCUCCGCUUGUGCGGGCCCCCGUCAAUUCCUUUGAGUUUCACCGUUGCCGGCGUACUCCCCAGGUGGAAUGCUUAUCGCUUUCGCUUCGCCACCCAGCCCUCACUCGGACCGGACAGCCGGCAUUCAUCGUUUACUGCGUGGACUAC
rnacentral:misc_RNA from 1 species